rnacentral:rRNA from 1 species
UACGUAGGGUGCAAGCGUUAAUCGGAAUUACUGGGCGUAAAGCGUGCGCAGGCGGUGAUGUAAGGCAGGUGUGAAAUCCCCGGGCUCAACCUGGGAACUGCAUCUGUGACUGCAUCGCUGGAGUGCGGCAGAGGGGGAUGGAAUUCCGCGUGUAGCAGUGAAAUGCGUAGAUAUGCGGAGGAACACCGAUGGCGAAGGCAAUCCCCUGGGCCUGCACUGACGCUCAUGCACGAAAGCGUGGGGAGCAAACAGG